rnacentral:rRNA from 1 species
UACGUAGGCAGCAAGCGUUGUCCGGAUUUACUGGGCGUAAAGCGCGCGCAGGCGGCACUCUAAGUACGCUGUGAAAUAUCCCGGCUCAACCGGGAGGGUGCAGUGUAGACUAGGGGAGCUAGAGGUCGGUAGAGGGGGGGUGGAAUUGCUGGUGUAGCGGUGAAAUGCGUAGAGAUCAGCAGGAACACCCGUGGCGAAGGCGGCCCCCCUGGGCCCGUACCUGACGCUGAGGCGCGAAGGCUAGGGGGAGCGAACGGGG